rnacentral:sRNA from 1 species
GCAAUUAGGUAAUUGUAGCUCCCAUCAUUGCAGGCCUGGAUUGUAUUCUUGAAGCAAUUAGGUAAUUGUAGCUCCCGUGUUCUCAUCAGCUUGAGUGGAUACCUGACCUCCCUGUGUGAAUGCUGUGACCACUGAGGUGGAGUCACUUGUGUCAAACCCUGAGUCUGAAGGCCCAAUCAGGAACUAGCAAAGAGAUUUUCCCAGACUGCAGCUCGUUUUAGAGCUGUUUGUAAAAGGCGCUCAGCUAAUGUGCUGUCUCCACAGAUGAACUGGACAGAUGUGAAUCCUCUGAGGAGCCGAGGACUCAAGGUGGGGCACGCUUGAGGAAUCUACGCAUGGCAUAUAUGACUCCAUUUAUGACAGUCAAUAGCAGAUGGGCAAGGAGGCGUCUGGGAGCCAGAAGAGAAAUCAGGCUUGGGGAGCUGUACAGCAAAGGAUAAUCCUGCAUUGCCGUGGCUCUGAGCAGCAGGGUGACCCCAAUUCCAAGGUCGCCUGCCGAAGUCUCUGCCCACUGCCAUUUUCUACGGACCUUCAGCCAGCCGGCCGCUGUCAGAGCCCUGGAGCCAGCUUCCAGAUGAGAGACUAGCAGGGGACAAGGGUUCCAAGUUCGAGCCCCAGGAAAAUAAAAAUAAGUAAAUAACUGGACGCCAGAUGGCCUGAAAGGGCAGAGCUGGAGCACAGGAUUAACUGGCUGGUAAUAAAAGCUGUCACGGCAGCAUGUCAUCGUUGGCGACGUGUCACCGUUGGCGGGUUAUUUAUUAGCUCUUCCCUUUGGAUACCAAAUGUCAAACAUGUUAAUGUGCAGAAACCCAGCCUUCCCCUCCCAGCUGCUCUGGCGUUGGCUGCCAGCUCCAUUGUCUCCUGCGGAGGACCUGUCGGGGAGUUCUGCAUUCAUAUGUCAUGGAUAAGACUGAAAUCCCAGCGUUCAGAAGGAUGAGGCAGGAGGACUGUUUGUUUCAAGCUCUUCUGAAGCUACAUAGCAAGUCCCUGGUCGCUUAAAACAAAAGCAUGGCUGGAGAGAGAGCUCAGUGGUAUUGUACAUGCUGUACAUAAAGUCGGAUGCGAUGCAGACAUCUGGAACCUCGGCGCACCCGUAGCAAGGUAUUUGGUCACCAUGAGAAAAAAUAGCCAGUAGAAGAAAGCUGUGUGACCCUCUCGGCCAAUGUAAGAAACAGCCCAGUCUUGAACUCUCAACCCUCAGGAGGCUGAGGACUGUGAGCUGCAGACUAGCCUGGGCUACAAAAUCAAACCCUGAUCUCAGAAGGUGAGAAAAGAAGAGAAGAUUGCAAAUGCCCGUUUUCCAAAGAAAAGCCCACGAAAAUCCCUCUCUGGCAUGCUCUAGUCAGUGGCUGGCAGCGUUUCCGGUGAGGGAGAAGGCAGCAUUUGAGUUAUUUGUCACUUCCUUUUUCAUCCUCUCAGUAUGGAAACAAACUUCUAGUUUCUUAGCUUCCCCUGAUGAGGUCUUUCAAAAUGUCCUGUGAGUGGGUGUAAAAACAAGAAAAUCAUGUUUGGAGGAUGACAUCAGAAUCUACAGAAUUCUAGAGCUGGAAUCCCAAAUGUGACAUCUAUGAAAUGGAGUUUCCUGAAACGACAGUUUUGAAUCAGCCAGCUUUAAUGGGAGUGAGGGGAAGUGAGGUUGAAUAGACACAGACAGAAAGGGGCUUCAGAGGUCAAGUUUAGUGAGCUAGAGGGGUGGCUCGGCAGUUAAGUGCAGGGACCUGAGUUGGGUUCCCAGA